GGGCUCGUGGUUUAGUGGUAUAAUACUCCCUUAGCAAUGUGAAUGGGAGUGGUCCGGGGUUCGAUUCCCCGCGAGUCCA
rnacentral:tRNA from 1 species